rnacentral:tRNA from 1 species
GGGCUGCUAGCUCAAUUGGUAGAGCAGGGCGCUCUUAACGCCAAGGUUCUGGGUUCGAGCCCCAGGCGGCCCA